GCAACACUACAUCCCACAAUAAACAGGGUACACCAAAAAGGACUCAAAGAACAAAUGUUGAGAUCUUCAAUAUAUCCAAAAAUUAUAAAAGAAGAAACUGUUCAUACUGAAGGGAACAGAGAAGAAAUAGCUGCAGAUCCAUAGGAAAAACUGUCUCAAGCACCAAAAAAAAAAAAUUAAGCUACUGAAAACAAGUGACUGGUUGAUGUCAUAAAUAAAUAUCAAAUUCAUCUACAAAGGUGUACUACAAUUCUACACGAGCAAUUGGAAGGCGCAAACACCAUAUACGAUGAUUAAUUACUGUAUCAUACCGAAUUCACGGGGCAGUGGGUGACUUAAAUUAAAACAUGCACUACAACGGUUCUAAAUGACUAACCUGUUUCAACGUUUAAAAAAACUAGUCGAUGAACCUUAAAACAUGCACUAGAACAGUUCUAAAUGAUACUUCAUUCCUCCAAUUAUAAAUUUUUUUGAAAAGUUUGGUGUUAUAUCUAAUUUAUAUAUAAUACAUUAUACCAGUAUAGAAAAACAAACCUAAUAAUGAUUGAGUAAACUAAUACGGCGGAGGCCAUCAUCAAAUCAACAAUAUCAAAGUUCCAAAAUUGAAUAGUUAAGCGAAUUAAAAUUGUUAGGUUAAACCUUAACCUAGUAUGACCUUCCUAACAUAAUACAAAAACAGAUCCUCGUCCAAGCCGCACUAAAAAAAACAUGGUUGCCAAAAAAUACAGAGCUAAUGCAACUAGUCAGAAAAGAAGAUCCAUACAAAAACAGGACUUUUCACCAAUAACUAUUCAGAAGGAAUCAAGCACAUAGCAACAACGAUCCAAAACGAACUACAGAAUCACCACACAAGCAAGGAUUUAAACAGCCCAUGCUAAAAACAACGAGCAAUUUACAUCCCAAAUAAACAGGGUACACCAAAAAGGACUCAAGAACAAAUGUUGAGAUCUUUAAUAUAUCCAAAAAUUAUAAAAGGAAACAACGAGCAAUUUACAUCCCAAAUAAAAAAAAUUAAAAAAAAGGAAGGAUAGAAAAGUACCGGAGAGAAGAUCCUGAUAAACCAACAUUAUCGUAGAGAAUUUUUCUCUGUUUCUCCCUCUGAAGAACUUGCUUAACAAAAACGCACAAGAGGAGGAGAAAACAGAG
rnacentral:lncRNA from 1 species